AAAAAUGGAACGUUGACUAAACAAUUCCUCUAAAUAGAUUUGAUGCAAAUAAAUAACGAUAAGCUUGCAGUGCGAUUAGUUUACGGUGAAAUUAGUUUCCUGCAAGGUUGCAUGAUAUUCUAUUAUUUCUUCAUUAUAAACGUUUAUUGCAAAACUUGUAGAUAUUACCAUCGGGAAAGGAAAAACUUUAGCAUUUACGUGUCCUCGGACUGCAAUUCUGCACACACUCGACGGGGAAUGUCUCCUAACUGAACUCAAUGGCGUUUACUUCUGAGUAGACGAAUUAACCAGGAUACACGGGCACAGCAAUCUGCACCUACCUUUUGUCCGCAGCGCAUUAUUGUGGAAGCCAACGCGAUCAACUAUCCAGCCAGAUAUUUCCUGACACUUUAGAUUCGCUGCUUGGGCGGCAGCCCGAAGAAUACUUAAAGUUCAGCUGAACAACAGCGCUAUUUCCUUUUCAGUAAACAGGCCUAGGAUCGGCUGAAAAUCUACAGCAGCAGACUGAGUGAGAAAACAGCCUAUACCCCGUGGACCUUAAACACGGGAAUACUUUCAUUGUGGCCAAAAACUUUAUGGGACUUGGGUCUUCACCACAGAGACGCUGAGACGCCCAAGAAGCGGGUCACCUAAGCCGAUAGCGGGGUGUGUGUGUGUAUGCAAAAAUAAAUAAAUGCUGUGGUUGUUUUUUUAUUAACCUACAGGCACACAACAAAAGACGUGGCAAUGCAAAACAGCAGCAGAUGUGUCAAAGCAAGCACAGCGAAUACAGUACAUCGUUGGCAUGUAGCCUUCGGAGGGAGGCCUGGUCGUCAAUGCGGCCCGCGGGCCGGAGAAGGUUAGCCGUCUCUGAGCAUCAGGACUUGGUCAAAUGAAUACACUAUCCAACCAGCUUGACUGUGCCUGGUGAUGAAUAGUCAUUUGGAGAUCGAUGGUGUAAAAUGAUUUUACGCUAUCAACUGACACCUCAUUCAGAGCAUCUAAUUAACUUCUGAAGCCAACUGACCACUUCCGAGAUGGUCCACAGCGUCAAAUUAGCUAAUUAAAUUCGAUUAUUGCAGCUUUAUGCCGGCAUCAGCGUUUGAAGCGUCGUCGUCAGUAUGUGGAGAUCCUUGAGGUUUUCCGCAGCAUUUUCGUGGGGUUUGAGGCUGUUCCCCUUUUUUAGUAUGUGGAUUGUGUCCGUUCGUUCUCUUGCGCGGAGACUGACCCGUCUGGCUCAAGCCAAUAGCAGCGGGGCAUUGUUGGCAGACGACAUAAGGCAUCGCGUUAGAAGGUGGCGCAGAGCAAGGACCCAUGGCGGGCACGGCUAUUGUUUGGCCCCCGAAGAGCGUUGCCCGAGUUAAUACGGGCUGGCACGCGGCAGUCAUCUGUAUUCUGGAUAGGACCGUGACCCACUUACCACUGCUUCUUGCUUGAUCUUCUGGUCUCCCUUUCCAAAAAAUCUAAGCUCAACUCCCCGCGACAAUCUCUCCCCGCCCCCGCGCCUUUCUCUGCGUUCAGCCUAUAUAUACUUAUCCACUUAGGAAACCACUUUGUGCAUCUAAGGAAGUGGGUUCUGGCCCAAGGAGAUUUAGACUUCAAUAAAUGUGUUAGCCUUUAA